GACGAACGCUGGCGGCGCGCUUAACACAUGCAAGUCGAGCGAGAACCAUGGCUUCGGCCAUGGGGACAGCGGCGAACGGGUGAGUAACACGUGGGCAAUCUGCCCUCGGCACUGGGAUAGCCCGGGGAAACCCGGAUUAAUACCGGAUAGCCUCUCGAGCUCACGGGCUCGUGAGAAAAGAUGGCUUCGGCUUUCGGCUGAGGAGGAGCCUGCGGCGGAUUAGCNGUUGGCGGGGUAACGGCCCACCAAGGCGACGAUCUGUAGCUGGUCUGAGAGGACGAUCAGCCACACUGGGACUGAGACACGGCCCAGACUCCUACGGGAGGCAGCAGUGGGGAAUCUUGCGCAAUGGGCGAAAGCCUGACGCAGCGACGCCGCGUGAGGGAAGAAGGCC
rnacentral:rRNA from 1 species